UACAUGGGGUGCAAACGUUGCUCGGAAUUAUUGGGCGUAAAGCGCGCGUAGGCGGUUACUUAAGUCGGAUGUGAAAGCCCUCGGCUUAACUGAGGAAGUGCACCCGAAACUGAGUAGCUAGAGUACGAAAGAGGGUCGCGGAAUUCCCGGUGUAGAGGUGAAAUUCGUAGAUAUCUGGAGGAACACCGGUGGCGAAGGCGGCAUCCUGGACCGGUAUUGACGCUGAGGAGCGAAAGCCAGGGGAGCAAACGGG
rnacentral:rRNA from 1 species